rnacentral:rRNA from 1 species
UAGCAUAUCCAUAAGCGGAGGAAAAGAAACCCAACAGGGAUUGCUUUAGUAACGGCGAGUGAAGCGGCAACAGCUCAAAUUUGAAAUCUGGCUCUUUCAGAGUCCGAGUUGUAAUUUGCAGAGGGCGCUUUGGCUUUGGCAGCGGUCCAAGUUCCUUGGAACAGGACGUCACAGAGGGUGAGAAUCCCGUACGUGGUCGCUAGCUAUUGCCGUGUAAAGCCCCUUCGACGAGUCGAGUUGUUUGGGAAUGCAGCUCUAAAUGGGAGGUAAAUUUCUUCUAAAGCUAAAUAUUGGCCAGAGACCGAUAGCGCACAAGUAGAGUGAUCGAAAGAUGAAAAGCACUUUGGAAAGAGAGUCAAACAGCACGUGAAAUUGUUGAAAGGGAAGCGCUUGCAGCCAGACUUGCUUGCAGUUGCUCAUCCGGGCUUUUGCCCGGUGCACUCUUCUGCAGGCAGGCCAGCAUCAGUUUGGGCGGUGGGAUAAAGGUCUCUGACACGUUCCUUCCUUCGGGUUGGCCAUAUAGGGGAGACGUCAUACCACCAGCCUGGACUGAGGUCCGCGCAUCUGCUAGGAUGCUGGCGUAAUGGCUGUAAGCGGCCCGUCUUGAAACACGGACCAAGGAGUCUAACAUCUAUGCGAGUGUUUGGGUGUCAAGCCCGAGCGCGUAAUGAAAGUGAACGGAGGUGGGAACCCGCAAGGGCGCACCAUCGACCGAUCCUGAAGUUUACGGAAGGAUUUGAGUAAGAGCAUGGCUGUUGGGACCCGAAAGAUGGUGAACUAUGCUUGAAUAGGGUGAAGCCAGAGGAAACUCUGGUGGAGGCUCGCAGCGGUUCUGACGUGCAAAUCGAUCGUCAAAUUUGGGCAUAGGGGCGAAAGACUAAUCGAACUAUCUAGUAGCUGG